UGGUGGUUAUUGCGGGGUGGCUGCACCCGUUCCCAUUCCGAACACGGCCGUGAAACGCCCCUGCGCCAAUGGUACUUUGUCUUAAGACACGGGAGAGUAGGUCGCUGCCA
rnacentral:rRNA from 1 species